rnacentral:rRNA from 1 species
GGGUUGUGAGGUUAAGCGACUAAGCGUACACGGUGGAUGCCCUGGCAGUCAGAGGCGAUGAAGGACGUGCUAAUCUGCGAAAAGCGUCGGUAAGGUGAUAUGAACCGUUAUAACCGGCGAUGUCCGAAUGGGGAAACCCAGUGCAAUUCGUUGCACUAUCGUUAACUGAAUACAUAGGUUAACGAGGCGAACCGGGGGAACUGAAACAUCUAAGUACCCCGAGGAAAAGAAAUCAACCGAGAUUCCCCCAGUAGCGGCGAGCGAACGGGGAGCAGCCCAGAGUCUGAAUCAGCUUGUGUGUUAGUGGAACGGUCUGGAAAGUCCGACGGUACAGGGUGAUAGUCCCGUACACCAAAAUGCACAGGCUGUGAACUCGAAGAGUAGGGCGGGACACGUGGUAUCCUGUCUGAAUAUGGGGGGACCAUCCUCCAAGGCUAAAUACUCCUGACUGACCGAUAGUGAACCAGUACCGUGAGGGAAAGGCGAAAAGAACCCCGGCGAGGGGAGUGAAAAAGAACCUGAAACCGUGUACGUACAAGCAGUGGGAGCACCUUCGGGUGUGACUGCGUACCUUUUGUAUAAUGGGUCAGCGACUUAUAUUCUGUAGCAAGGUUAACCGUAUAGGGGAGCCGCAGGGAAACCGAGUCUUAACUGGGCGUUAAGUUGCAGGGUAUAGACCCGAAACCCGGUGAUCUAGCCAUGGGCAGGUUGAAGGUUGGGUAACACUAACUGGAGGACCGAACCGACUAAUGUUGAAAAAUUAGCGGAUGACUUGUGGCUGGGGGUGAAAGGCCAAUCAAACCGGGAGAUAGCUGGUUCUCCCCGAAAGCUAUUUAGGUAGCGCCUCGUGAAUUCAUCUUCGGGGGUAGAGCACUGUUUCGGCUAGGGGGUCAUCCCGACUUACCAACCCGAUGCAAACUACGAAUACCGAAGAAUGUUAUCACGGGAGACACACGGCGGGUGCUAACGUCCGUCGUGAAGAGGGAAACAACCCAGACCGCCAGCUAAGGUCCCAAAGUCAUGGUUAAGUGGGAAACGAUGUGGGAAGGCACAGACAGCCAGGAUGUUGGCUUAGAAGCAGCCAUCAUUUAAAGAAAGCGUAAUAGCUCACUGGUCGAGUCGGCCUGCGCGGAAGAUGUAACGGGGCUAAACCAUGCACCGAAGCUGCGGCAGCGACACUAUGUGUUGUUGGGUAGGGGAGCGUUCUGUAAGCCUGCGAAGGUGACCUGUGAGGGUUGCUGGAGGUAUCAGAAGUGCGAAUGCUGACAUAAGUAACGAUAAAGCGGGUGAAAAGCCCGCUCGCCGGAAGACCAAGGGUUCCUGUCCAACGUUAAUCGGGGCAGGGUGAGUCGACCCCUAAGGCGAGGCCGAAAGGCGUAGUCGAUGGGAAACAGGUUAAUAUUCCUGUACUUGGUGUUACUGCGAAGGGGGGACGGAGAAGGCUAUGUUAGCCGGGCGACGGUUGUCCCGGUUUAAGCAUGUAGGCUGGUUGUCCAGGCAAAUCCGGAUAAUCAAGGCUGAGGUGUGAUGACGAGGCACUACGGUGCUGAAGUAACAAAUGCCCUGCUUCCAGGAAAAGCCUCUAAGCAUCAGGUAACAUCAAAUCGUACCCCAAACCGACACAGGUGGUCAGGUAGAGAAUACCAAGGCGCUUGAGAGAACUCGGGUGAAGGAACUAGGCAAAAUGGUGCCGUAACUUCGGGAGAAGGCACGCUGGUGUGUAGGUGAAGCCCCUGCGGGUGGAGCUGAGACCAGUCGAAGAUACCAGCUGGCUGCAACUGUUUAUUAAAAACACAGCACUGUGCAAACACGAAAGUGGACGUAUACGGUGUGACGCCUGCCCGGUGCCGGAAGGUUAAUUGAUGGGGUUAUCCGUAAGGAGAAGCUCUUGAUCGAAGCCCCGGUAAACGGCGGCCGUAACUAUAACGGUCCUAAGGUAGCGAAAUUCCUUGUCGGGUAAGUUCCGACCUGCACGAAUGGCGUAAUGAUGGCCAGGCUGUCUCCACCCGAGACUCAGUGAAAUUGAACUCGCUGUGAAGAUGCAGUGUACCCGCGGCAAGACGGAAAGACCCCGUGAACCUUUACUAUAGCUUGACACUGAACAUUGAGCCUUGAUGUGUAGGAUAGGUGGGAGGCUUUGAAGCGUGGACGCCAGUCUGCGUGGAGCCAACCUUGAAAUACCACCCUUUAAUGUUUGAUGUUCUAACGUUGGCCCCUUACCGGGGUUGCGGACAGUGUCUGGUGGGUAGUUUGACUGGGGCGGUCUCCUCCCAAAGCGUAACGGAGGAGCACGAAGGUUAGCUAAUCCUGGUCGGACAUCAGGAGGUUAGUGCAAUGGCAUAAGCUAGCUUGACUGCGAGCGUGACGGCGCGAGCAGGUGCGAAAGCAGGUCAUAGUGAUCCGGUGGUUCUGAAUGGAAGGGCCAUCGCUCAACGGAUAAAAGGUACUCCGGGGAUAACAGGCUGAUACCGCCCAAGAGUUCAUAUCGACGGCGGUGUUUGGCACCUCGAUGUCGGCUCAUCACAUCCUGGGGCUGAAGUAGGUCCCAAGGGUAUGGCUGUUCGCCAUUUAAAGUGGUACGCGAGCUGGGUUUAGAACGUCGUGAGACAGUUCGGUCCCUAUCUGCCGUGGGCGCUGGAGAAUUGAGGGGGGCUGCUCCUAGUACGAGAGGACCGGAGUGGACGCAUCACUGGUGUUCGGGUUGUCAUGCCAAUGGCACUGCCCGGUAGCUAAAUGCGGAAGAGAUAAGUGCUGAAAGCAUCUAAGCACGAAACUUGCCCCGAGAUGAGUUCUCCCUGAGACUAUAAGUCUCCUGAAGGAACGUUAAAGACGAUGACGUUGAUAGGCCGGGUGUGUAAGCGCAGCGAUGCGUUGAGCUAACCGGUACUAAUGAACCGUGAGGCUUAACCUUACAACGCCGAAG